CCUACGGGAGGCAGCAGUGAGGAAUAUUGGACAAUCGACGAAAGUCGGAUCCAGCAACGCCGCGUGGAUGAUGAAGGCCUUCGGGUUGUAAAAUCCUUUUAAGAGGGAAGAGUAAGGACGGUACCUCUUGAAUAAGUCUCGGCUAACUACGUGCCAGCAGCCGCGGUAAU
rnacentral:rRNA from 1 species